rnacentral:rRNA from 1 species
AUUGAACGCUGGCGGAAUGCUUUACACAUGCAAGUCGAACGGCAGCACGGACUUCGGUCUGGUGGCGAGUGGCGAACGGGUGAGUAAUACAUCGGAACGUGCCCAGUCGUGGGGGAUAACGUAGCGAAAGCUACGCUAAUACCGCAUACGAUCUAAGGAUGAAAGCGGGGGAUCGCAAGACCUCGCGCGAUUGGAGCGGCCGAUGGCAGAUUAGGUAGUUGGUAGGGUAAAGGCCUACCAAGCCGACGAUCUGUAGCUGGUCUGAGAGGAUGAUCAGCCACCCUGGAACUGAGACACGGUCCAGGCUCCUACGGGAGGCAGCAGUGGGGAAUAUUGGACAAUGGGCGCAAGCCUGAUCCAGCCAUACCGCGUGGGUGAAGAAGGCCUUCGGGUUGUAAAGCCCUUUUGUUGGGAAAGAAAUCCAGCCGGUUAAUACCUGGUUGGGAUGACGGUACCCAAAGAAUAAGCACCGGCUAACUUCGUGCCAGCCGCCGCCGUAA